AACAAAUUAAUUAAAUUGAGGAAUCACAAUUGCCCAUAAGACCUCCCAUGUGUCUAUCUCAACUCUGUUUCUGCACCUCGCUAAGCCCUAGUCGUAAAACAUUCCCAAACCCUAACCCUGACCGAACGUCGUUUAAUGCGUUCCGCAUCCCAAAAGCACACCACCGUCUGAGAUACCCCUCAAUGGACCACUUCAUAGUUCCGGCGCCGUCUCCCACGACGCCGUGGUCUCCGCCCUCGACGAUAUGCCGGCCCUCGGCGACCCCUGGAUCUCAUAGAGAACUUUCGCAUCCAAGAUGGGAUUUUGAAGGACGGUGGCAACGAAUGCUUGCGAUCAGAAGGAUUAGUUUCUGAAAGGAAGAUUUAAUUCGCCAUCCAUCAUAUCUAUCUUCAAGAGACUGCGGAAGGUCCCAGUGAUAGAGAGUAACAUAUGGUUGUAAUCCUGAAAACAAGAGAGAACAUUUAGAAGUCCUAAACUUCCACAAGAAACUAUAGUUCCAUCUGCCAAGGUCAAAGCAUGUCACAGUAUGCUGGAAAUAUGAAGAUGCUUUUCUGAAAACAUAAACUCAAAUUCUUAUUACUUGGGAAGAUCCGGGACCAUGAGAUUGAGAAUCU